rnacentral:rRNA from 1 species
AUAAUCUGCUCAUGAUUAUUUAAUAGCCGCAUUCGUGCUAAGGUAGCAUAAUCAUUUGUCUUUUAAAUAAAGACUAGAACAAAAGAUUUAACAUUUUUACUUACUUAUUUACUUCAAUAAUUUAAAUUAUUUUAAAUAUUAAAAAAUUUUUAUAAAAUAAAAAGACGACAAGACCCUAUUGAACUUAACUUUAGUUAAACUGGGGUAGUAAAUUAAUUAUUAUUUUAAUUAUUUUAUAUUAAUUAUUAUCUAAUAAUAUUAAUUAUUCAGUUACCAUAGGGAUAACAGCGUAAUUAUAUUUUAAAGGUCAUAUAUAAAAUAUAGAUUACGACCUCGAUGUUGAAUUAAUUAUCUUUUUAAAGAAAAUUUUAAAUAAGAAAGUCUGUUCGACUUAUAAAUAAUUACAUGAUUUGAGUUCAGACCGGUAUAAGCCAGGUCGGUUUCUAUCUUUUGUAAAAAAUUUUACAGUACGAAAGGACCUAAAACUUUAAUUUAAUUAAAUUAAUUGGCAGACAUAUGCAUUAGAAUUAGAAUCUAAUAAAACUAAU